CUGGCUGUACUAAUGGUUUCCUAGUGUCUGUAUCCAAGGGUAUCUCACUAUCCCCCUUGCUGGCCCAUAAUUCUGAUAUUACACAAAAGAAACAAGGAAAAUAGAAAGAAAAAAAAGAAUUUUAAGAACACCUAGAUUCACACAUGUAUGAUGGCUUCUAAGAUCAAUUGAGAUUCGUCAGAAACAAAACAGAGAUGAAUACUCUUUGGGAAACAUAGUCUUAUGUCUACAUGUAUUUUAAAGGAUGUAACUAGAAAAUAUACACAGAUCUACAUGGACGUCUAACAUUGGUCCAGAAGCUUUUUAUAUUCCAGGGUAUUGACUCCUUGUAUACUCUCUAUGGGAUAGGUGGUGUCUUGAAAAUAAGGAAAUUGAAGCAUAGAAGCAAUGAGGAACUGGAUCAAACCACAUAGUUCAAUGGGACAUCUGAUCUGGCCAAGGCAUGAAAACCAGCAGCUCUUCAGUAGAUUCCACUAGGCUUGACUGUGGUGCUGGUCAUUUCGUGGAUCCCAAAGGGCUCACGAAGAGGCCAGGAGAGGACUUGCACCCGUCAGCAGCACCAUGGCAUCUCACAAGGAAUGGAAGGCAGGCGGUACCACGCUCUUCUGGAAGUGGCAUGGGCAGAGGGCUCAGGUUUGGAUCCAUCU